GAUGAACGCUGGCGGCGUGCCUAAUACAUGCAAGUCGAGCGAACAGACGAGGAGCUUGCUCCUCUGACGUUAGCGGCGGACGGGUGAGUAACACGUGGAUAACCUACCUAUAAGACUGGGAUCACUUCGGGAAACCGGAGCUAAUACCGGAUAAUCUAUUGAACCGCAUGGUUCAAUAGUGAAAGACGGUUUUGCUGUCACUUCUAGAUGGAUCCGCGCCGCAUUAGCUAGUUGGUAAGGUAACGGCUUACCAAGGGAACGAUGCGUAGCCGACCUGAGAGGGGGGUCGGCCACACGGGAAGUGAGACACGGACCAGACUCCUACGGGAGGCAGCAGUAGGGAAGCUGACGCAAUGGGCGAAAGCCUGACAGAGCAACGCCGCGUGAGUGAUGAAGGUCUUCGGAUCGUAAAACUCUGUUAUUAGGGAAGAACAAAUGUGUAAGUAACUAUGCACGUCUUGACGGUACCUAAUCAGAAAGCCACGGCUAACUACGUG
rnacentral:rRNA from 1 species